CGCCCACUGGAUCCAUCUCUUGCGAGCAGUCUCCUUCCAGACAAAUAUGAGUUCAGUAGUUCAAACCCAUUUCUCUUCCAUAUCCCAAGUGCAGCUAGCUGCUAUGACAGUAUUAUUGACAAUCCAUGUGCGCCUCUCUUUCAAGCACAUACCUCAAGUAUUUUGUUUUUUUUUAUAAAAAAGAAGAAGAAAAAACGAUGCCUUCAAUAAUGCAAAUCCUGUAUCAAUCAACAAUCACUUUCACUUACAAAUGAUGGCAUGGCACGUAUACUCCAAUGAUUUAAAUUUCUAAGAACUCCAAUUGAUUAAUCAGAUAAAGUUUAAGAUGGUAGCUCUGUGUUCUUAAUAUUUCACUUUAAUUUGGUUAAGAGCAUCGGCUAAUGAGUAUGUUUUAUGUUUGGUUUUCUUCUCGAAUUAAAUGGGAGAUCUGGAGAUAAGAAUCAUGAGAUCGGGUAUGUUUCAAGGAGUGAAAAGAGCAAAGAAGGAGAUCCAAACAGCACACCACUGCAUCACAUCAAUGACAAGGAAACGAAAGGGAUUUUAGUAGAGCAUACCUUAUCGAUUGAUUCGAAACAAGCUAUCGAUUAAAGUCUCCUGAAAAAUGAUAAAUGGUUUGAUAAGUUUAACAGGUGGAUACCAUCAUCAUUCCAUCAAGUGUAAUCCCGAGAUUUCUAACACGAAGCUAACUACCAUUGAAUCUUCUAUUCUCAAAAUAAAUCCCGACGAUCAAAUUAAAAUCUUUUCAGUCAAGAAUUAGAAUGAUUAUCUACUCGUAAAUAACCUCAUUCACCAGAGAUUAUCUCUUUUUUUUCUAUCUUCGUUUAAAAUAUAUAGAUAUACUCCAACAAAAAGAAGAAAAAAUACUUAAUUGAAUCUAAAACUAAAAUAAUACCAUAAAAAAUAAACACCCGAACUGUACCGAAGAUGAGUUGUGAUCUGAAAGCAGGACUUUAGUGCCGCACAGUAUUCGACUGAUUCAGUGAACCACGAAUUACGGUUUUUGAUUGGAAAAUCUUGGUAUUUUCCUGCUCAAAUUGCUGGUAAUUCCAUCACAUAGUUGUUAUAAUAAUAUAAUAAUUACUAUCAAAGAGGGCAAAUGUUAUUGUGUAGAGAGAGAGAGAUCACGUGCUAAAAAAAGACUCGGCACGUUUAUUUGCUGUGGGCGUUGGUGAGAAGGGCACCAUCGAAGAAAAGAAGAUGAUGAAGGAACGACUAGAUUUGGCCUUGAUCGUAGCAAGCAAAUGCUACUACCUAUUAUUUGUUUUCCUGUGUCGUUUUUGGCUUCUUCUUUUUUCAUCGACAAAAC
rnacentral:lncRNA from 1 species